rnacentral:lncRNA from 13 species
CUCACUUGGAUCAGGUGUCCUCCCUCGAUCUGUCAGAUUUGGCAAUUCUAGUGACAUAGUGACCUGUCACAAGCACUGGUGGCCUGGAUCUGCAGAGGCCCCAGUGUCCACAACAAGCUUAAAGAUUUCAAAGGAAUUGGUGCUCUAUCAGAAAAGGUUGCACAAACAGAAGACUUGCAACAAAUCUACUUGGAAAGAACUGAGAUCUUAACAACAGUGAAGAUGAACUUCUAUCUGAUGAACAAGACUUUCCUAAAACAAUAAUGUGUCUGCGUCAUGUCCAGAGCAUGCUGUUGACUUAAUAAACUGGAGGGGGAUUUUCA